rnacentral:rRNA from 1 species
UAGGGAAUCUUCGGCAAUGGACGAAAGUCUGACCGAGCAACGCCGCGUGAGUGAAGAAGGUUUUCGGAUCGUAAAACUCUGUUGGUAGAGAAGAACGUUGGUGAGAGUGGAAAGCUCAUCAAGUGACGGUAACUACCCAGAAAGGGACGGCUAACUACGUGCCAGCAGCCGCGGUAAUACGUAGGUCCCGAGCGUUGUCCGGAUUUAUUGGGCGUAAAGCGAGCGCAGGUGGUUUAUUAAGUCUGGU